rnacentral:rRNA from 1 species
GAUGAACGCUGGCGGCGUGCCUAAUACAUGCAAGUCGAGCGAACGGACGAGAAGCUUGCUUCUCUGAUGUUAGCGGCGGACGGGUGAGUAACACGUGGAUAACCUACCUAUAAGACUGGGAUAACUUCGGGAAACCGUAGCUAAUACCGGAUAAUAUUUUGAACCGCAUGGUUCAAAAGUGAAAGACGGUCUUUCUGUCACUUAUAGAUGGAUCCGCGCUGCAUUAGCUAGUUGGUAAGGUAACGGCUUACCAAGGCAACGAUGCAUAUCCGACCUGAGAGGGUGAUAGGCAAAACUGGAACUGAGAAACGGUCCAGACACCGACGGGAGGCAGCAGUAGGGAAUCUUCCGCAAUGGGCGAAAGCCUGACGGAGCAACGCCGCGUGAGUGAUGAAGGUCUUCGGAUCGUAAAACUCUGUUAUUAGGGAAGAAAAUAUGUGUAAGUAACUGUGCACAUCUUGACGGUACCUAAUCAGAAAGCCACGGCUAACUACGU